GACGAACCACACAAACGUUAUUCGGAAUUACUGGGCUUAAAGGGUGCGUAGGCGGCGCGGAAAGUUGGGUGUGAAAUCCCUCGGCUCAACCGAGGAACUGCGCCCAAAACUACCGUGCUCGAGGGAGAUAGAGGUGAGCGGAACUUAGGGUGGAGCGGUGAAAUGCGUUGAUAUCCUAAGGAACGCCCGUGGCGAAAGCGGCUCACUGGGUCUUCUCUGACGCUGAGGCACGAAAGCUAGGGUAGCGAACGGG
rnacentral:rRNA from 1 species